UUAAGUUAUUAAGGGCGCACGGUGGAUGCCUUGGCACUAGAAGCCGAUGAAGGACGUUACUAACGACGAUAUGCUUUGGGGAGCUGUAAGUAAGCUUUGAUCCAGAGAUUUCCGAAUGGGGAAACCCAGCAUGAGUUAUGUCAUGUUAUCGAUAUGUGAAUACAUAGCAUAUCAGAAGGCACACCCGGAGAACUGAAACAUCUUAGUACCCGGAGGAAGAGAAAGAAAAUUCGAUUCCCUUAGUAGCGGCGAGCGAAAUGGGAAGAGCCCAAACCAACAAGCUUGCUUGUUGGGGUUGUAGGACACUCUAUACGGAGUUACAAAGGACGACAUUAGACGAAUCAUCUGGAAAGAUGAAUCAAAGAAGGUAAUAAUCCUGUAGUCGAAAAUGUUGUCUCUCUUGAGUGGAUCCUGAGUACGACGGAGCACGUGAAAUUCCGUCGGAAUCUGGGAGGACCAUCUCCUAAGGCUAAAUACUCUCUAGUGACCGAUAGUGAACCAGUACCGUGAGGGAAAGGUGAAAAGCACCCCGGAAGGGGAGUGAAAUAGAACCUGAAACCGUGUGCUUACAAGUAGUCAGAGCCCGUUAAUGGGUGAUGGCGUGCCUUUUGUAGAAUGAACCGGCGAGUUACGAUUUGAUGCAAGGUUAAGCAGUAAAUGUGGAGCCGUAGCGAAAGCGAGUCUGAAUAGGGCGUUUAGUAUUUGGUCGUAGACCCGAAACCAGGUGAUCUACCCUUGGUCAGGUUGAAGUUCAGGUAACACUGAAUGGAGGACCGAACCGACUUACGUUGAAAAGUGAGCGGAUGAACUGAGGGUAGCGGAGAAAUUCCAAUCGAACCUGGAGAUAGCUGGUUCUCUCCGAAAUAGCUUUAGGGCUAGCCUCAAGUGAUGAUUAUUGGAGGUAGAGCACUGUUUGGACGAGGGGCCCCUCUCGGGUUACCGAAUUCAGACAAACUCCGAAUGCCAAUUAAUUUAACUUGGGAGUCAGAACAUGGGUGAUAAGGUCCGUGUUCGAAAGGGAAACAGCCCAGACCACCAGCUAAGGUCCCAAAAUAUAUGUUAAGUGGAAAAGGAUGUGGCGUUGCCCAGACAACUAGGAUGUUGGCUUAGAAGCAGCCAUCAUUUAAAGAGUGCGUAAUAGCUCACUAGUCGAGUGACACUGCGCCGAAAAUGUACCGGGGCUAAACAUAUUACCGAAGCUGUGGAUUGUCCUUUGGACAAUGGUAGGAGAGCGUUCUAAGGGCGUUGAAGCAUGAUCGUAAGGACAUGUGGAGCGCUUAGAAGUGAGAAUGCCGGUGUGAGUAGCGAAAGACGGGUGAGAAUCCCGUCCACCGAUUGACUAAGGUUUCCAGAGGAAGGCUCGUCCGCUCGGGGUUAGUCGGGUCCUAAGCUGAGGCCGACAGGCGUAGGCGAUGGAUAACAGGUUGAUAUUCCUGUACCACCUAUAAUCGUUUUAAUCGAUGGGGGGACGCAGUAGGAUAGGCGAAGCGUGCGAUUGGAUUGCACGUCUAAGCAGUAAGGCUGAGUAUUAGGCAAAUCCGGUACUCGUUAAGGCUGAGCUGUGAUGGGGAGAAGACAUUGUGUCUUCGAGUCGUUGAUUUCACACUGCCGAGAAAAGCCUCUAGAUAGAAAAUAGGUGCCCGUACCGCAAACCGACACAGGUAGUCAAGAUGAGAAUUCUAAGGUGAGCGAGCGAACUCUCGUUAAGGAACUCGGCAAAAUGACCCCGUAACUUCGGGAGAAGGGGUGCUCUUUAGGGUUAACGCCCAGAAGAGCCGCAGUGAAUAGGCCCAAGCGACUGUUUAUCAAAAACACAGGUCUCUGCUAAACCGUAAGGUGAUGUAUAGGGGCUGACGCCUGCCCGGUGCUGGAAGGUUAAGAGGAGUGGUUAGCUUCUGCGAAGCUACGAAUCGAAGCCCCAGUAAACGGCGGCCGUAACUAUAACGGUCCUAAGGUAGCGAAAUUCCUUGUCGGGUAAGUUCCGACCCGCACGAAAGGCGUAACGAUUUGGGCACUGUCUCAACGAGAGACUCGGUGAAAUCAUAGUACCUGUGAAGAUGCAGGUUACCCGCGACAGGACGGAAAGACCCCGUGGAGCUUUACUGUAGCCUGAUAUUGAAAUUCGGCACAGCUUGUACAGGAUAGGUAGGAGCCUUUGAAACGUGAGCGCUAGCUUACGUGGAGGCGCUGGUGGGAUACUACCCUAGCUGUGUUGGCUUUCUAACCCGCACCACUUAUCGUGGUGGGAGACAGUGUCAGGCGGGCAGUUUGACUGGGGCGGUCGCCUCCUAAAAGGUAACGGAGGCGCUCAAAGGUUCCCUCAGAAUGGUUGGAAAUCAUUCAUAGAGUGUAAAGGCAUAAGGGAGCUUGACUGCGAGACCUACAAGUCGAGCAGGGUCGAAAGACGGACUUAGUGAUCCGGUGGUUCCGCAUGGAAGGGCCAUCGCUCAACGGAUAAAAGCUACCCCGGGGAUAACAGGCUUAUCUCCCCCAAGAGUUCACAUCGACGGGGAGGUUUGGCACCUCGAUGUCGGCUCAUCGCAUCCUGGGGCUGUAGUCGGUCCCAAGGGUUGGGCUGUUCGCCCAUUAAAGCGGUACGCGAGCUGGGUUCAGAACGUCGUGAGACAGUUCGGUCCCUAUCCGUCGUGGGCGUAGGAAAUUUGAGAGGAGCUGUCCUUAGUACGAGAGGACCGGGAUGGACAUACCUCUGGUGUACCAGUUGUCGUGCCAACGGCAUAGCUGGGUAGCUAUGUGUGGACGGGAUAAGUGCUGAAAGCAUCUAAGCAUGAAGCCCCCCUCAAGAUGAGAUUUCCCAACUUCGGUUAUAAGAUCCCUCAAAGAUGAUGAGGUUAAUAGGUUCGAGGUGGAAGCAUGGUGACAUGUGGAGCUGACGAAUACUAAUCGAUCGAAGACUUAAUCAA
rnacentral:rRNA from 1 species